AACGCACAUUGCGCCCCUUGGUAUUCCGAAGGGCAUGUCUGUUUGAGCGUCAUUACAACUCCUCGUUAACAAAUUUUUGUGAACGGUCUUGGGCGGUGUUCGCGCAAAACGCUUACCGCCUUAAAUCCACCUAAUGAAUGCUCUGCCAGCCAGACCUUGAAAACUUUACGUAGUAGUACAUCACAAACCGUUAAGGAUGAAGGGACCGAGCUAGGCCUAAAAAAUAUGAAUCCAACCUCUCUAGGUUUGACCUCAGAUCAGACAAGGAUACCCGCUGAACUUAA
rnacentral:misc_RNA from 1 species